GUGAAGCGAUAGUACUUGGAGCCGGUUGUAACACUGAGUGAAUGCAUAUGCAGGGGAGUAAAGAGUGGCGACUGGAGGCCUACCGGUUACAUUAAUAGAAGCCACCGGGUUCGUUACCGAGUACGACGUCAUCACGAGUCCCUAGACUCCCGUCUUUUGCAACGUGAACACACCACAGCAUGUCACACAAGUACAGUAGGAGUUGAACAAGGAGAACCCCUGCACUUCUGUUCAUGAUGAGGAGUUUACUGUUUUCCAAGGUUUAA